CUAAGCAUAUCAAUAAGCGGAGGAAAAGAAACCAACAGGGAUUGCCCUAGUAACGGCGAGUGAAGCGGCAACAGCUCAAAUUUGAAAUCUGGCCCUCGGGUCCGAGUUGUAAUUUGUAGAGGAUGCUUUUGGUGAGGUACCUUCCGAGUUCCCUGGAACGGGACGCCAUAGAGGGUGAGAGCCCCGUCUGGUUGGAUACCGAUCCUCUGUAAAGCUCCUUCGACGAGUCGAGUAGUUUGGGAAUGCUGCUCUAAAUGGGAGGUAUAUGUCUUCUAAAGCUAAAUAUUGGCCAGAGACCGAUAGCGCACAAGUAGAGUGAUCGAAAGAUGAAAAGCACUUUGAAAAGAGAGUUAAAAAGUACGUGAAAUUGUUGAAAGGGAAGCGCUUAUGACCAGACUUGGACUUGGUUGAUCAUCCUGGGUUCUCCCUGGUGCACUCUUCCAGUUCAGGCCAGCAUCAGUUCGCUGCGGGGGAUAAAAGUUUUGGGAAUGUGGCUCCCUCGGGAGUGUUAUAGCCCAUUGCAUAAUACCCUGCUCCGGACUGAGGUUCGCGCAUCUGCAAGGAUGCUGGCGUAAUGGUCAUCAGCGACCCGUCUUGAAACACGGACCAAGGAGUCGUCUUCGUAUGCGAGUGUUCGGGUGUUAAACCCCUACGCGUAAUGAAAGUGAACGCAGGUGAGAGCUUCGGCGCAUCAUCGACCGAUCCUGAUGUUCUCGGAUGGAUUUGAGUAAGAGCAUACGGGGCCGGACCCGAAAGAAGGUGAACUAUGCCUGUAUAGGGUGAAGCCAGAGGAAACUCUGGUGGAGGCUCGCAGCGGUUCUGACGUGCAAAUCGAUCGUCAAAUAUGGGCAUGGGGGCGAAAGACUAAUCGAACCUUCUAGUAGCUGGUUUCCGCCGAAGUU
rnacentral:rRNA from 1 species